UGGAGAUGUUGGACUCGCUGUUGGCCUU
rnacentral:piRNA from 1 species